CAGUAGCCACGGGAAUACGAAGGGGGCUAGCGUUGUUCGGAAUUACUGGGCGUAAAGCGCACGUAGGCGGAUUGUUAAGUUAGGGGUGAAAGCCCAGGGCUCAACCUUGGAACUGCCUUCGAUACUGGACAUCUUGAGUAUGGGAGAGGUGAGUGGAACUCCGAGUGUAGAGGUGAAGUUCGUAGAUAUUCGGAAGAACACCAGUGGCGAAGGCGACUCACUGGCCCAUUACUGACGCUGAGGCGCGAAAGCGUGGGGAGCAAACAGGAUUAGAUACCCCAGUAGUCCCUGUCUCUUAUAC
rnacentral:rRNA from 1 species